UAAUAUAUGCUAUAUUUAUCACAUAUUAGGAUAAUAUUAUUAUUAUCAUCUUCAUUAUUAAAGUACAGGAUAAGGUUCUGUGGACUCAUGGGUCUAUUACUGAACGUCUGUAACAUCUGCAACAUCUGGAGCAAAGACAAAAAAAAUCUAAGGUCAAAUGUUGGCUGAUGUUGCAAAGGUGUUUGUUGUUUCGGGGCGAAAUGCUGUAAAUGAGGGAAACUCAGAUCCUGAAGGAGAAUGUUACUGUAGCUCAUCAACAAAAUGAGAACAGACAUCACAGUACAAAGCAAAACGACUGAGUCUGGACACAAACUAUCAACGAGUGUAAAGUUCAGGGAGUAAUUAUUUUAUCACUUCAGGGACUUUAGUAUUAAGCUUUUGUGUUGAAUCUAUUUUGUGUUGCCUUUGUUUUGAUGUUAGAUUCAGUUUGAAGACACUCGGACACAAAAAGCAGAAAUGAGGAGGGGUCCAGUGUUUCUCACAGCAACGUACGAGGCUCCUCCUACUGACUGCACAUGUGGCUGCUUCACAGCUGGAUUGCAGCUGUGAUCAUCAGACCCACAACAACAGUGUGUCACCUCUGAACAUGGACACACUCGCUGCACUUCUGUUCGUUUCAGCUCUCGUAGGUAACAGCCUCGAAGAUGAUAUUACUGCCAUCAGAACUGAAGUGUUUUCAUCAGAGGGUCGUAGCGUUACUCUCUCCUGUAAAUACUCCGUUAAAGCUAAUAAUCUCCAGUGGUACCGACAGGAUGCUGGAUCAGCUCCUCAGUAUCUACUCCUGAUCACUGAUACGAAACAGCCUGAAGUGAUUCAAGCAAAGCCCUCAAACCCUCGACUGACUGCUAAACUGAACGACCAGAGAAAUCAAGUGGAUCUGGAGAUCUCCUCUGCUGCAGUGUCUGACUCUGCUGUGUACUACUGUGCUCUGCAGCCCACAGUGACAGGAAACACCUCAACUCUGUACAAAAACCUCUGGAGCAAAGACAACACAAUGCUCCACAGCAUCCACCAGAGGGAGACACUGUCAUAAACUGAUGGUUUGGGAUUAAACACUCUAGAAUCAACAGAAGUGAAAACACAGACUUGAGAGGAGACAGAUUCAGGGAGGAGCUGAGCUGUGACUGAAUGUAGAAGAGAGACAAACGUCUCCAUUCAACAGUUCAGUAGAGACCGAAUCAUUACAUUUA